GAAAGAUUCAUCGGAAGAGGAUGGGCAUGCGGCGCAUUAGCUUGACGGCGGGGUAACGGCCCACCGUGGCGACGAUGCGUAGGGGUUCUGAGAGGAAGGUCCCCCACACUGGUACUGAGACACGGACCAGACUCCUACGGGAGGCAGCAGUGAGGAAUAUUGGUCAAUGGGAGAGAUCCUGAACCAGCCAAGCCGCGUGAGGGAAGACGGCCCUAUGGGUUGUAAACCUCUUUUGUCGGAGAACAAAACCCGGGACGUGUCCCGGACUGCGUGUAUCCGAAGAAAAAGCAUCGGCUAACUCCGUGCCAGCAGCCGCGGUAAUACGGAGGAUGCGAGCGUUAUCCGGAUUUAUUGGGUUUAAAGGGUGCGUAGGCGGUCUGUUAAGUCAGCGGUAAAAUUGCGGGGCUCAACCCCGUCGAGCCGUUGAAACUGGCAGACUUGAGUUGGCGAGAAGUACGCGGAAUGCGCGGUGUAGCGGUGAAAUGCAUAGAUAUCGCGCAGAACUCCGAUUGCGAAGGCAGCGUACCGGCGCCAGACUGACGCUGAGGCACGAAAGCGUGGGGAUCGAACAGGAUUAGAUACCCUGGUAGUCCACGCAGUAAACGAUGAAUGCUGGUUGUCCGGGUCGAAUG
rnacentral:rRNA from 1 species